rnacentral:rRNA from 1 species
CACGUAGUCGGCCGGUCCUUCUUCUGCACAUACCGUCACUUGCGCUUCGUCUGUGCUGAAAGAGGUUUACAACCCGAAGGCCGUCAUCCCUCACGCGGCGUCGCUGCAUCAGGCUUGCGCCCAUUGUGCAAUAUCCCCCACUGCUGCCUCCCGUAGGAGUCUGGGCCGUAUCUCAGUCCCAGUGUGGCCGGUCACCCUCUCAGGCCGGCUACCCGUCGUCGCCUUGGUAGGCCAUCACCCCACCAACAAGCUGAUAGGCCGCGGGCCCAUCCCACACCGCAAAAGCUUUCCCCUACCAGGCCAUGCGACCAGCAGGGUAUAUUCGGUAUUAGACCCAGUUUCCCAGGCUUAUCCCAAAGUGCAGGGCAGAUCACCCACGUGUUACUCACCCGUUCGCCACUCGAGUACCCCCGAAAGGGCCUUUCCGUUCGACUUGCAUGUGUUAAGCACGCCGCCAGCGUUCGUCCUGAGCAGGAUCAAACUACU